AUUCAACCCCCAUACUGCCUUUGGAUGUUCUUGCUGACAGGCCUCCUGAGAAGAAACUUGAGUGGGUAAGUAGAAAGGCUGAUGCCCUUAGAUAUUCUUGCAGAUAGCAGUUAUAUAGCCAUUCUGGUUUUAGGCAACUUUUCUGGUGCUUACUGAGGUUUUACUUUGUAUUUUCAUGUAAUUAUCUCUGCUGUGGGGGCGAAUAUUUACAGGUUAAGGUAUGAUACGUCUUUUCUAUGCGUCUGAUUUACUAUAUUGGGUCUUCAGCGACUAACAGUGGCUAAUAUUCCCAUUUUCUUUUUAUCCUUGUGUAUUACAGAGGCUGCUGGCAAAGUAUGGGUCUCUGAUGUCAGUGCUAUCCAUUGUGGUUCUGUUUGUGUACCUGGUUGCUACUCCAGGUAAAUCUGGUGGUGCAAAAGGAGGCAAGAAGAAGCGCUAAGCAGUGGUGAUGCAACUUCAGUGAGAUAGCAUAUGAGCAUUUGGACACAUGUUCCUUUGUUGCCGAGUUGUUUUUCUCUCCGAGUUAGUGGCACAUGUUAGUUGUCUGAAACUUCCAAAUGAAUAGUUUAUUAACAAGUUAGUGUAAGAUGAACUAGCUGAGUCAUACAGUGGGCACGAACCCAAAUCGGAUCU
rnacentral:lncRNA from 1 species